rnacentral:rRNA from 1 species
UCGAGGAUCUUCGGCAAUGAGCGCAAGCUUGACCGAGCGACGCCGCGUGAGCGAUGAAGGCCUUCGGGUUGUAAAGCUCUUUAGUGGGGGAGAAAAGCCCGCAAGGGUGUGAUCUAUCCCAAAAAUAAGCACGGGCUAAGUUCGUGCCAGCAGCCGCGGUAAGACGAACCGUGCGAACGUUGUUCGGAAUCACUGGGCUUAAAGGGCGCGUAGGCGGGCUAACAAGUCUGGGGUGAAAUGCCGCGGCUCAACCGUGGAACUGCCUUAGAUACUGACGGCCUCGAGGGAGAUAGGGGCAUGCGGAACUGUAGGUGGAGCGGUGAAAUGCGUUGAUAUCUACAGGAACUCCGGUGGCGAAAGCGGCAUGCUGGAUCUCUUCUGACGCUGAGGCGCGAAAGCUAGGGGAGCAAACG